UACGUAGGGGGCAAGCGUUGUCCGGAUUUAUUGGGCGUAAAGAGCGUGUAGGCGGCCAUACAGGUCCGUUGUGAAAACUGGAGGCUUAACCUCCAGACGUCGAUGGAAACCGUAUGGCUAGAGUCCGGAAGAGGAGUGUGGAAUUCCUGGUGUAGCGGUGAAAUGCGCAGAUAUCAGGAGGAACACCAAUGGCGAAGGCAGCACUCUGGGACGUGACUGACGCUGAGACGCGAAAGCGUGGGGAGCAAACAGG
rnacentral:rRNA from 1 species